ACGGAAGGCAGCAGUGAGGAAUAUUGGUCAAUGGGCGGAAGCCUGAACCAGCCAAGUCGCGUGAAGGAAGACGGUAUUAUGUAUUGUAAACUUCUUUAGACGCAGAGAAAUAAGGGGCUCGCGAGCUCUGAUGCUAGUAUGCGUAGAAUAAGGAUCGGCUAACUCCGUGCCAGCAGCCGCGGUAAUACGGAGGAUCCGAGCGUUAUCCGGAUUUAUUGGGUUUAAAGGGUGCGCAGGCGGCGCUUUAAGUCAGUGGUCAAAUCGUGAGGCUCAACCUCAUCCCGCCAUUGAUACUGGAGCGCUUGAGUGCGGUUGAGGUAGGCGGAAUUCGUCGUGUAGCGGUGAAAUGCAUAGAUAUGACGAAGAACCCCGAUUGCGUAGGCAGCUUACCAAGCCGUAAAUGACGCUCAUGCACGAAAGUGCGGGGAUCGAACAGGAUUAGAUACCCUGGUA
rnacentral:rRNA from 1 species